GCCAGGCGCUGUGGUGCGUGCCUAUAAUCCCAGCAGCUUGGGAGGCUGAGGCAGGAGGAUUGCCAGUUCAAAGCCAGCCUCAGUAAAAAGGAGGCACUAAGCAACUCAGUGAGACCCUGUCUCUA
rnacentral:sRNA from 1 species